rnacentral:rRNA from 1 species
CCUACGGGGGACUGCAGUAGGGAAUAUUGCUCAAUGGGGGAAACCCUGAAGCAGCAACGCCGCGUGGAGGAUGAAGGUUUUCGGAUUGUAAACUCCUUUUGUUAGAGAAGAAAAUGACGGUAUCUAACGAAUAAGCACCGGCUAACUCCGUGCCAGCAGCCGCGGUAAUACGGAGGGUGCAAGCGUUACUCGGAAUCACUGGGCGUAAAGAGCGCGUAGGCGGGAUAGCAAGUCAGAUGUGAAAUCCUAUGGCUUAACCAUAGAACUGCAUUUGAAACUGGUAUUCUAGAGUAUGGGAGAGGUAGGUGGAAUUCUUGGUGUAGGGGUAAAAUGCGUAGAGAUCAAGAGGAAUACUCAUUGCGAAGGCGACCUGCUAGAACAUAACUGACGCUGAGGCGCGAAAGCGUGGGGAGCAAACAGGAUUAGAUACCCCUGUAGUC